rnacentral:rRNA from 1 species
CGUGUCGUGAGAUGUUGGGUUAAGUCCCGCAACGAGCGCAACCCUCGCCUUUAGUUGCCAGCACGUCUGGGUGGGCACUCUAAAGGAACUGCCGGUGACAAGCCGGAGGAAGGUGGGGAUGACGUCAAGUCCUCAUGGCCCUUAUGUCCUGGGCUACACACGUGCUACAAUGGCGGUGACAGUGGGAAGCCAGGCAGCGAUGCCGAGCGGAUCUCCAAAAGCCGUCUCAGUUCGGAUUGCACUCUGCAACUCGAGUGCAUGAAGGUGGAAUCGCUAGUAAUCGCGGAUCAGCAUGCCGCGGUGAAUACGUUUCCCGGGA